UACGUAGGGACCGAGCGUUGUCCGGAUUCAUUGGGCGUAAAGAGCUCGUAGGCGGCUGCUCAAGUCGAAUGUGAAAACUCGAGGCUCAACCUCGAGCCUGCAUUCGAUACUGGGCGGCUAGAGUCUGGUAGGGGGAUCUGGAAUUCCUGGUGUAGCGGUGGAAUGCGCAGAUAUCAGGAGGAACACCGGUGGCGAAGGCGGCUUUCUGGACGACAACUGACGCUGAGACGCGAAAGCGUGGGGAGCAAACAGG
rnacentral:rRNA from 1 species